rnacentral:rRNA from 1 species
CUGGUACUGAGACACGGACCAGACUCCUACGGGAGGCAGCAGUGAGGAAUAUUGGUCAAUGGAGGCAACUCUGAACCAGCCAUGCCGCGUGAAGGAUGACGGCCCUAUGGGUUGUAAACUUCUUUUAUAGAGGAAGAAACUUGUCUACGUGUAGACAACUGACGGU